ACGGGUGAGUAACACGUAGGUAACCUGCCUAUGAGACUGGGAUAACUAUCGGAAACGAUAGCUAAGACCGGAUAACUGGUUUUCUCGCAUGAGAGAAUCAUGAAACACGGAGCAAUCUGUGGCUUAUAGAUGGGCCUGCGGCGCAUUAGCUAGUUGGUAGGGUAAUGGCCUACCAAGGCGACGAUGCGUAGCCGACCUGAGAGGGUGACCGGCCACACUGGGACUGAGACACGGCCCAGACUCCUACGGGAGGCAGCAGUAGGGAAUCUUCCGCAAUGGACGCAAGUCUGACGGAGCAACGCCGCGUGAGUGAUGAAGGUUUUCGGAUCGUAAAGCUCUGUUGCCCUAGACGAACAGCAAGGAGAGUAACUGCUCUUUGUGUGACGGUAUAGGAGAAGAAAGCCCCGGCUAACUACGUGCCAGCAGCCGCGGUAAUACGUAGGGGGCAAGCGUUGUCCGGAAUUAUUGGGCGUAAAGCGCGCGCAGGCGGUCAAUUAAGUUGGGUGUUUAAGCCCGGGGCUCAACCCCGGUUCGCAUCCAAAACUGGUUGACUUGGGUGUAGGAGAGGAAAGUGGAAUUCCACGUGU
rnacentral:rRNA from 1 species